rnacentral:rRNA from 1 species
UACGAAGGGGGCAAGCGUUGUUCGGAAUUACUGGGCGUAAAGAGUACGUAGGCGGUUAUGUUAGUUAGGUGUGAAAUCCCGGAGCUCAACUUCGGAGUUGCACUUAAUACUGCGUAACUAGAAUUCAAGAGGGGAAAGUGGAAUUUCCAGUGUAGGGGUGAAAUCCGUAGAUAUUGGAAGGAACAUCAGAGGCGAAGGCGACUUUCUGGCUUGAUAUUGACGCUGAGGUACGAAAGCGUGGGGAGCAAACAGG